rnacentral:lncRNA from 1 species
CAGCGUGUUUGAGCUGCUGGUGCGGUGGUCAGCGCGAUGCCCAAGGCCAAGGGCAAAACCCGGAGGCAGAAGUUUGGUUACAGUGUCAACCGAAAGCGUCUGAACCGGAAUGCUCGACGGAAGGCAGCGCCGCGGAUCGAAUGCAGAGUGGCAAGACUUCCUCGAUUCUUUGCAGAAGAGGAAGAUGGAGGUGGAGUGACUGGUUUACAUCACAGCUGCCCCAGGCUGAGGCGUCCCCCGGACCAGUGAAGCUGGAGCCAGGGUGUAAGGCAAGGAGGUGCUGUGUGGCUCCAGAGGAGCUGGCCAGGUCCCAUGGAAUCAGAAGGUUACACACACACGUGCACACUCCCCGCUCUGGGGAAGGAACUGUUCUCAGAGGCUCCAAUUUAUAUUCAUCUGGGGGUUCACGGAAAAGCCAGAACCUGCUGUUUUCAGGGUGGGUGAUGUAAAUAUAGUGUGUACAUAAUAAAGC